rnacentral:lncRNA from 1 species
UCCUCGCCCACACCUUCACAUCCUUCAUGCAUUUAGGGAAACCCUCCCUGUUAGUUUUACAUGUGCCUGAUGAUGGGGUCCCAUUCAUGAACAAAUCUUGGACUAACUUAGGGGAUGAAAAAAAAUUAUCAAAAUAUACAUGAUACCCUUGCCCCAAAUAUGGAUUCACCAACUUCAUCACCACAUCAUAACCAAGGCCAUUCUGCGACGGUGCUUCAUGCUGUGACUUACCUAUGUAAACAUUGAAAUCAAUUGUAUACCCAUUUGAACUACCUGCCAAUACCCAAAGCUUUAUCCCCCAUUUUGUAGGCUUAUUCUUCAUGUAUUGCCUAAUGCCCGACCUAUGUUUAGACUUAACCAUGCGUUCAUCUACAGCAAUAUUCUGGUACGGUUGGUAUAACAUACGGCAUCGCUCUUUGAAUGAUGCCAGAAACUCCUCAACCUUGCGCAGUUUAUUGCUAGCAAUCUCUUCGGCGGGAUCUACCACAUGCAGGAAUGCCAUAAGGGCUUUAUAACGUUUACGGGAAAGUAUUUUCCUUGCCCAGAGACCGUGGUAAAGGGUCUUUGUGCUCCAAUACUUUUCAAGUGCUGUGUCUACACGUACCAGACCAAAAUAAAUCAAAAUAGCAAUUAAAUGAUUUAUUUCAUCUUCAGUGGUUGUUUUCCAGGCCCCCUCCCCAGUGGUGUAUGUGGUGAACCCCCCAGCUACAAGUCUCAUGAAUGCGUAGCUGUUGGUGUGGGCAACAACUGAUUUUAUCAUCUCAGUGGUGAAGAAGAGACGAAAAAAUUCUAAUUCAGUUGUCAUUCCUCCCCGCAAGACAUGCCUAUCAAAAUGAAUUCCUGGCGGACGGCUUGGUUGAAAGGGAGGGAGGGUAUUCCUAAUGUCCGCAUCAUCAUAAGAUUUACUACUACUGUUGUCGGCCCUGGUAUCCCUAGCCCUUCCACCCCUGGCCCUACCACCCCUGGCCCUACCGCCCCUGGCCCUACCACCCCUGGCCCUACUGCCCCUUCCCCUAUUGCCAGAAGUACCAUUAGGGGAGUCUGCCCGUCUCCUAAUUGGGGAUCGGCCCCUUCCACCACUACCCUCCCCUAAAUCACCAUCCUCCGCCCAAUCCGGAUCCUCGUCAUCUACUUCAAAAUCAUCAUCAUCUUCAUCAACAGGUUCUUCAUCACUAUAAAAAAAUAAAACACUAUAAACAUACUGAUACAUGGUAUUAUCUUACUUCAUAUAAACAAAAAUGCAUAAAUUAAUUUUUUAAAUGCCCACUUAUGCCAUGUGUGCAACACGACACUCACACAUUUUGAUAUCGGUUCAAACCUUUGAUUUUUGUGGCAAUAUAAAUAACAGAACUCUCAAAUAAAUGCCUUAUUAUAUCGAUUGUUUGUAUAUUUGUUAUAUUUCGUAUCAGAUCUUAGAUUACAGACCAAAUUCUUAUGGCAAAUGUGCGUCAAAGUUCACGUUGUGUCGAAUGUAAAUUUAAUCCUUCGACCAUGACAUGAAAACAUCUGUUCGCUAAAAACAUGUAAAUACUUGCCUUGAGUCGCUAUCUGACAUCGUCAAACGUCUGUCCAAGUAUUCUUCUUCAU